UACGGAGGGGGCUAGCGUUGUUCGGAAUUACUGGGCGUAAAGGGCGCGUAGGCGGCCGCAGCAGUCAGGCGUGAAAGCCCCGGGCUCAACCUGGGAAUUGCGCUUGAGACGCUGUGGCUGGAGGUCGGGAGAGGAGAGCGGAAUUCCCAGUGUAGAGGUGAAAUUCGUAGAUAUUGGGAAGAACACCGGUGGCGAAGGCGGCUCUCUGGCCCGCACCUGACGCUGAGGCGCGAAAGCGUGGGGAGCAAACAGGAUUAGAAACCCCCGUAGUCC
rnacentral:rRNA from 1 species